AGUAACUGCGAGUGAAGCGGCAAAAGCUCAAAUUUGAAAUCUGGCGUCUUUGGCGUCUGAGUUGUAAUUUGGAGAGGCAUCUUCGGAGGUGGCACUGUCCUAAGUUCCUAGGAACAGGACAUCAUAGAGGGUGAGAAUCCCGUGCCUGGAUGGUUGUCCAUCUCCAUGUGAAGUGUCUUCGACGAGUCGAGUUGUUUGGGAAUGCAGCUCAAAAUGGGUGGUAAAUUUCAUCUAAAGCUAAAUAUUGGCGAGAGACCGAUAGCGCACAAGUAGAGUGAUCGAAAGAUGAAAAGCACUUUGAAAAGAGAGUUAAAAAGUACGUGAAAUUGUUGAAAGGGAAGCGCUUGAGAUCAGAUUCAAUCUUUAGUGAUCAGCUGUGCUUUUGUGCGGUGCACUUGCUAUUGAUUGGGCCAGCAUCGGUUCUGACGGUGGGAUAAAAGGUGAAGGAAUGUGGCUUCCUUGGGGGAGUGUUAUAGCCUUUAUCAUAAUGCCAUCAGUUGGGACCGAGGACCGCGCUUCGGCUAGGAUGCUGGCGUAAUGGUCUUAAGCGACCCGUCUUGAAACACGGACCAAGGAGUCUAACAUCUAUGCGAGUGUUCGGGUGGAAAACCCUUGCGCGUAAUGAAAGUGAACGGAGGUGGGAACCCGCAAGGGUGCACCAUCGACCGAUCCUGAUGUCUUCGGAAGGAUUUGAGUAAGAGCAUAGCUGUUGGGACCCGAAAGAUGGUGAACUAUGCCUGAAUAGGGUGAAGCCAGAGGAAACUCUGGUGGAGGCUCGCAGCGGUUCUGACGUGCAAAUCGAUCGUCAAAUUUGGGUAUAGG
rnacentral:rRNA from 1 species